rnacentral:rRNA from 1 species
UACGUAGGAGGCAAGCGUUGUCCGGAAUCACUGGGCGUAAAGCGCGUGUAGGUGGAAGAGGAAGUCUGCUGUGAAAGCGCCUGGCUUAACCGGGCGAGGUCGGUGGAAACUCCUCAUCUGGAGGGCGGUAGAGGGGGGUGGAAUUCCGGGUGUAGUGGUGAAAUGCGUAGAGAUCCGGAGGAACACCUGUGGCGAAGGCGGCCCCCUGGGCCGCACCUGACGCUGAGACGCGAAAGCGUGGGGAGCAAACAGG